rnacentral:rRNA from 1 species
ACAAGCGGAGGAGCAGUGUGGUUUAAUUCGAUGAUACGCGAGGAACCUUACCUGGCUUGAAAGUUAGUGACAUUCUGUGAAAGCAGAACUUCGCAAGGACACGAAACUAGGUGCUGCAUGGCUGUCGUCAGCUCGUGCCGUGAGGUGUUGGGUUAAGUCCCGUAACGAGCGCAACCCCUAUCAUUAGUUGCCAUCAGGUCAUGCUGGGGACUCUAAUGAGACUGCCCGCGCAAGCGGUGAGGAAGUGGGGACGACGUCAAGUCAUCACGGCCCUUACGUCCAGGGCUACACACGUGCUACAAUGGUAGAUACAGCAGGUUGCCACAUGGUAACAUGGAGCUAAUCCCAAAAGUCUAUCUCAGUUCGGAUUGAGGUCUGCAACUCGACCUCAUGAAGCUGGAUUCGCUAGUAAUCGAAAAUCAGCAAUGUUUCGGUGAAUACGUUCCCGGGCCUU